rnacentral:rRNA from 1 species
UACAGAGGGGGCAAGCGUUGUUCGGAAUUACUGGGCGUAAAGGGCGCGUAGGCGGCCUGCUAAGUCGAACGUGAAAUCCCCGGGCUUAACCCGGGAACUGCGUCCGAUACUGGUGGGCUUGAAUUCGGGAGAGGGAUGCGGAAUUCCAGGUGUAGCGGUGAAAUGCGUAGAUAUCUGGAGGAACACCGGUGGCGAAGGCGGCAUCCUGGACCGAGAUUGACGCUGAGGCGCGAAAGCCAGGGGAGCAAACGGG